rnacentral:rRNA from 1 species
UCAACCUCGGGCCUGCAGUGGGUACGGGCAGACUAGAGUGCGGUAGGGGAGAUUGGAAUUCCUGGUGUAGCGGUGGAAUGCGCAGAUAUCAGGAGGAACACCGAUGGCGAAGGCAGAUCUCUGGGCCGUAACUGACGCUGAGGAGCGAAAGCGUGGGGAGCGAACAGGAUUAGAUACCCUGGUAGUCCACGCCGUAAACGUUGGGAACUAGAUGUGGGGACCAUUCCACGGUCUCCGUGUCGCAGCUAACGCAUUAAGUUCCCCGCCUGGGGAGUACGGCCGCAAGGCUAAAACUCAAAGGAAUUGACGGGGGCCCGCACAAGCGGCGGAGCAUGCGGAUUAAUUCGAUGCAACGCGAAGAACCUUACCAAGGCUUGACAUAUACCGGAAACGGCUGGAAACAGUCGCCCCGCAAGGUCGGUAUACAGGUGGUGCAUGGUUGUCGUCAGCUCGUGUCGUGAGAUGUUGGGUUAAGUCCCGCAACGAGCGCAACCCUCGUUCUAUGUUGCCAGCACGUAAUGGUGGGAACUCAUAGGAGACUGCCGGGGUCAACUCGGAGGAAGGUGGGGAUGACGUCAAAUCAUCAUGCCCCUUAUGUCUUGGGCUUCACGCAUGCUACAAUGGCCGGUACAAAGGGCUGCAAUACCGUAAGGUGGAGCGAAUCCCAAAAAGCCGGUCUCAGUUCGGAUUGAGGUCUGCAACUCGACCUCAUGAAGUCGGAGUCGCUAGUAAUCGCAGAUCAGCAACGCUGCGGUGAAUACGUUCCCGGGCCUUGUACACACCGCCCGUCAAGUCAUGAAAGUCGGUAACAC